rnacentral:rRNA from 1 species
AUACGGAGGGUGCAAGCGUUACUCGGAAUCACUGGGCGUAAAGCGCGCGCAGGCGGGCUGAUAAGUUGGAUGUGAAAGCCUACGGCUCAACCGUAGAACUGCAUCCAAAACUGUCAGUCUAGAGCGUGGGAGAGGAAGAUGGAAUUAGUUGUGUAGGGGUAAAAUCCGUAGAGAUAACUAGGAAUACCAAAAGCGAAGGCAAUCUUCUGGAACACUACUGACGCUGAGGCGCGAAGGCGUGGGGAGCAAACAGGAUUAGAUACCCUAGUAGUCC